rnacentral:lncRNA from 1 species
GUUGUAUUUGUCAUGGGGAAAGAGACACAGAUACAGAUAUGAUUUUUCACCAGAGCUGCUCUCAGUGUUUGAAAGCAAGCAAGGGAAAUGUAAGUAUUCGAGCCACAUAGAGGCCCUUAAUCUUCGAGGAAGAUAGUGGGCAGAACAAAAUUAAAAAGCAGUUUGAGGAUUCUUCUUGUUUUUAACAUUCCAGGCAGAUGAUCUAUUAUUUGGCUGCUCUAAGAACGCAAUAAGUUUCUGGGUAGACUGAUGUUAAUUGAAUCACAGUUCAAUUCUCUUUGUCCAGGGAAGCAAUCUGUCUAGAACAGUUGUGUAAGGAUUAUAGAUUGUGGCUUCAAGCUUUAAUUGUUUUAGUCCAGGCAUGAAAAUAGCUGCUCACUUGGCCCCAUGUGGCAAGUGAGAAUUUCCUCCUGGCAACUUGGCUGGGAAACUUUUUGCAAAAAGGAGGUGCUUCCUUCAGGCCAUUGAUGUGCCUCAAAUGAAUAUCGCCAUUUAUUCUGGACAGGGAGACUAAGAAAAAUAUAGAGAGACAGUAGCUUUUGUGGGCUAACAUGCAGAGCAGUUUUACUUGGUUUUACAGAUUUAGCUGAUUAAUUAAAGAGCUGGCCCUAACCAAUUACAUAGCUGGAAAUUCCAGCCAUAGUCGUUCAUUUCUUAGGCUAUUUUUAUUCUGGGGUGUUACUCUAAAAGUGCCCAUCAUCACAGGGCCAUAAAGUUGCUGCAGAGCAAGAAUGAGAGCCAAGGGCUACCCCACUUUAUAUGUUAUUAUCUGUGUUUUUAAUGAACAAGGUGGCGGCAGAGCCUUGAAAAGAGGCCCCACAAUUUCAGGUGCAUCUGCAAACGACUCUGUUUAGAAGCUAUUUUUGGCAUGCUAGCUGUAUAUCAAUUAACUAAUAAUAUUCAAUGGACAUUCAUCAGUUGAGAGGGUCAGUGCCAGAUUUAUGUAUAGGCUAAGUAGGCUGAAGCUUGGGGCCUCUGGAUCUAGGAGGCCUCCCCCGCCCCCCAGCGGGCAGUCUCCCCUCUCCCAAAAUUGCAAAGCCAAGACUUCAUGCGAAGAUAUUAAAUUUAAAUUAUGUUACAAUCUUAGAGAAAAUGUCAUUAAAAUGCAAUAUAGAUGGCACCUUACCCCGGCCAAAUUGGCCAAAUUGGAUAAGAACAGAUCAGAGAUGUGCUGGAGAUGUAAAAAGGGGGUGGGCUCAUAUAUGCACAUGUGGUGGGAAUGAGAGAAAAUAAGAGAGUUUUGGAAUAUUAUAUAUAAUGAAUUUUAAAAGAUGUUCAAAUUCCCAUUUACAAAAAAACCCAGAAGCCUUCCUUCUAGGAAUUAUGUCAAUAGAAAUUAAGGAAAAUGCUAGAUCACUCUUCAUGUAGGCAAGAGCAGCCGCCAGAAUAUUAGUGGCAAAGAACUGGGAAAGUGAGACUACCCCCACAAAGACUGAAUGGCAGGUACAAAGGAUAGAAUACAUACAAUUGGCAAAAAUGACAGGGAGAGUUAGAGGGCAUACGAUACAGAAGAUGAACAAAGAAUGGAUAGUAUUUAAAGAGUAUUUGAGAAACUAUUGUGAUAACAAAAAUCUCCUGGCAGAUCUAGAAUAAUUCUUGUAAGUUACUGGUGAUAAAAAAUAUUUAAAAAAAAAAGAAUUGGAAAAACAUAAAACAACAAGAAAGUACAAUGUGUAAAAAAACAAAUUCAGAUAUAGUACAAUGAGAACAAUCGGAAGUUUAUUUUAAUAAUUUCAUUUAUUUAUCUUUUAUAUUUUCUUUUCUUUCUUUUUUAAGCAAAGGUUGUGUAUGUAGACUGAAUAUAUGUAAUAUUACGCAUAUUGUGUAUGUAAGUGUUGUUGUAAGUUCAAAACGAAACAGGGCAAAGGCUAAUAGAGUUCUGCCAAGAGAACAGGCUGGUUAUCACAAACACUCUUUUCCAACAACACAAGAGACGACUCUACACAUGGACAUCACCAGAUGGGCAGCAUCAAAAUCAGAUUGAUUAUAUUCUCUGCAGCCAAAGAUGGAGAAGCUCUAUACAGUCAGCAAAAACAAGACCUGGAGCUGACUGUGGCUCAGAUCAUCAGCUUCUUAUAGCAAAAUUCAAGCUUAAACUGAAGAACGUAGGAAAAACCACUGGGCCAGUAAGAUACAAUCUAAAUCAAAUCCCAUAUGAAUGCACAAUGGAAGUGAGGAACAGGUUUAAGGAUUUAGAUUUGGUGGACAAAGUGCCUGAAGAACUAUGGACGGAGGCUCGUAACAUUAUACAGGAGGCAGCAACGAAAACCAUCCCAAUUAAAAGGAAAUGCAAGAAAGCAAAGUGGCUGUCCAAGGAGGUCUUACAAAUAGCGGGGAGAGAAGGCAAGCAAAAUGUGAGGGAGAUAGUGAACAAUACAGGAAACUGAAUGCAGAUUUCCAAAAAAUAGCAAGGAGAGACAAGAAGGCCUUCUUAAACAAGCAAUGCAAAGAAAUAGAGGAAAACAAUAGAAUGGGGAAAACCAGAGAUCUGUUCAAGAAAAUUGGAGAUAUGAAAGGAACAUUUCAUACAAAGAUUACCAUAAUAAAGGACAAAAGUGGUAAGGACCUAACAGAAGCAGAAGACAUCAAGAAGAGGUGGCAAGAAUACACAGAGGAAUUAUACCAGAAAGAUAUGGAUGUCUCACACAUCCCAGGUAGUGUGGUUGCUGACCUUGAGCCAGACAUCCUGGAGAGUGAAGUCAAAUGGGCCUUAGAAAGCACUGCUAAUAACAAGGCCAGUGGAAGUGAUGAUAUUCCAUCUGAACUAUUUUAAAUUUUAAAAGAUGAUGCUGUUAAGGUGCUACUCUCAAUAUGCCAGCAAGUUUGGAAAACUCAGCAGUGGCCAGAGGAUUGGAGAAGAUCAGUCUACAUCCCAAUCCUAAAGAAGGGCAAUGCCAAAGAAUGCUCCAACUACCGCACAAUUGCACUCAUUUCACAUGCUACCAAGGUUAUGCUUAAAAUUCUACAAGGCAGGCUUAAGCAGUAUGUGGACUGAGAACUCCCAGAAGUGCAAGCUGCAUUUCGAAGGGACAGAGGAACCAGAGACCAAAUUGCAAACAUGCGUUGGAUUAUGGAGAAAGCUAGAGAGUUCCAGAAAGACAUCUACUUCUGCUUCAUUGACUAUGCAGAAGCCUUUGACUGUGUCGACCACAGCAAACUAUGGCAAGUUCUUAAAGAAAUGGGAGUGCCUGAUCACCUCAUCUGUCUCCUGAGAAAUCUCUAUGUGGGACAAGAAGCUACAGUUAGAACUGGAUAUGGAACAACUGAUUGGUUCAAAAUUGGGAAAGGAGUAUGGCAAGGCUGUAUAUUGUCUCCCUGCUUAUUUAACUGAUAUGCAGAAUUCAUCAUGCGAAAGGCUGGGCUGGAUGAAUCCCAAACCGGAAUUAAGAUUGCCGGAAGAAAUAUCAACAACCUCAGAUAUGCAGAUGACACAACCUUGAUGGCAGAAAGUGAGGAGGAAUUAAAGAACCUUUUAAUGAGGGUGAAACAGGAGAGCGCAAAAUAUGGUCUGAAGCUCAACAUCAAAAAAACGAAGAUCAUGGCCACUGGGCCCAUCACCUCCUGGCAAAUAGAAGGGGAAGAAAUGGGGGCAGUGAGAGAUUUUACUUUCUUGGGCUCCAUGAUCACUGCAGAUGGUGACAGCAGCCACGAAAUUAAAAGACUCCUGAUUCUUGGGAGAAAAGCGAUGACAAACCUAGACAGCAUCUUAAAAAGCAGAGACAUUACCUUGCCGACAAAGGUCCAUAUAGUUAAAGCUAUGGUUUUUCCAGCAGUGAUGUAUGGAAAUGAGAGCUGGACCAUAAUGUAGGCUGAUCGCCGAAGAAUUGAUGCUUUUGAAUUAUGGUGUUGGAGGAGACUCUUGAGAGUCCCAUGGACUGCAAGAAGAUCAAACCUCUCCAUUCUUAAGGAAAUUAGCCCUGAGUGCUCACUGGAAGAACAGAGACUGAAGCUGAGGCUCCAAUACUUUGGCCACCUCAGGAGAAGAGAAGACUCCCUGGAAAAGACCCUGAUGCUGGGAAAGAUGGAGGGCACAAGGAGAAGGGGACGACAGAGGACGAGAUGGUUGGAUAGUGUUCUCGAAGCUACCAGCAUGAGUUUGACCAAACUGCAGGAGGCAGUGGAAGGCAGGAGUCCCUGGCGUGCUCUGGUCCAUGGGGUCAUGAAGAGUCGGACGCGACUAAAUGACUAAACAACAACAACAACAGUGAAUAUACCAUAGUUGUCCAGGGAAAGUUGCAGGCUGACCUAGAAUUGUUCUACAAUUGUUACAUGGGCAGGGAGCCAAUUCGCAUCCAUAGGUGGUGGUUUACUUCUAGGUAAUGUGUGAAGUCACUACAACCUCUUUACCCUUUUCCAAUCCCCCCUCCACCACAUUCAAUCAUGAGAGAUACACAUUUUCCCUUUGUAAGGUUUAGUUCCACUCAAAAGUGCCGUGUAUACACGCACACACACACACACACACACACACACACACACAAACACACAAACACACCUCUGCCAGGAAGUAAGAUGUUGUAGGAGCCAGUGUGGUGUAGUGGUUAAGAGCGGUAGAUUAGUAAUCUUAGGAACCGGGUUUGCGUCUCCGCUCCUCCACAUGCAGCUGCUGGGUGACCUUGGGCCAGUCACACUUCUCUGAAGUCCCUCAGCCCCACUCAUCUCACAGAGUGUUUGUUGUGGGGGAGGAAGGGAAAGGAGAAUGUUGAGACUCCCGAAGGGGAGUGAUAAAGUGGGAUAUCAAAUCCAAACUCUUCUUCUUGUUGUUGUUGUUGUUAGAUGUGCUUUUCUGAUGGAUCUGGGGUCCAGCUGAUCAUGGUGAUCAGAAGCUGAGAAUGGCUUUGUUUGAAAGGCAAUUGUGGACCCAGCCCUGGUAGACAAUGAUAGAAGGAUUCAUUAAUAAAAUGAAAGAGAGCCAAUGUGUCAGUAUUUCAGGUCUCUGGAUAGCUACGGAAAAUUACAAGUUUGAAUUACUUCACACCACGCCAGUUUUUAAAAAGGUCUUCAUUUAAAUAUUGCUUUCCCCUGCUAGACAACCUUGAAUUAAGUGAAGCUCUCAUGUUUUGAUUUGGUUUAGAAUAUACAUUCCUUAAGACAAAUCUCAAGGGGUUGUUUCUGAAGUUAUUCCCUGUGUAUCCUUACAACAGUUAUGCUUCCCUGAAUGCUGGGAGCUGUCUGGCCUGAGAAUAUAUGGAGGGUCUUGCUGGAUCAGGCCAAGCAGAUACUUGUGGGAAGCUCAAAAGCAAUCUCUGCAGGGAAUGCUAAAAACAUGCAUUCUGAAUUAGGCGGAGUAAGGCUGGGGCAGCCCACCCAGGGCUUCAGAUUAUUAUUACUAUUAUAUUUCUAUUUAUAUUUAGUAUUAUGAAUUUAUCUACCACUUUUAUGGUCAAAGGUCGCGUUGUUCCCCUCAACUCCCAUGCAGGAGGAGGAGGACUUGGUCAGGUUAGACUGUCAAAUAAUUUGGUUUGUCAUCUGUUCAAACAGGAAUCGUGUCUUGCAGGGGUGAAACUAGGCUUCAUUUCACUCAGGUUAAAGACCCAGUUUGGCACACACCCCACAUGCAUUUGCACACACAGAACCUGGGAGCCUCUGGAGCAGGGGGCAGCAAGGUUGACCUCGCCUGGGCCGGUUCACUCCAGCGGAGAUCCCUCCGUGGGUCGGAUCGUGUGCGCAGCUGUGAUUUCCGGCGUCUGCGCAGAAAUGAUUUUCGGUGCCUGUGUCUGCACAGAUGUGAUUUUCGGCAUCUGAGCAUGUGCAGACAUGAUUUCCGGUGCCACAGAAGCGAGUCCCCGCGCUGCACUGCGCCUGUUUAGCACCGCGUGUGGGGACUUGGCGAGUGGGCGGCUCAGUUCAGGGGUGGCUCGUGGGCUGGUUAAAGGCCCCCCGUGGGCCUUAGGUUGCCUACUCCUGCUCUGCAGGCUUCACCAGGGGCAAAAAACAUGGCCCCUCCCUGCCAGCUAGGGCUCUGUGGCUUCUAACAAACUCUGGUAAGUUUCAAACCAAGUCAGCUUAUAGAAAUCUGAAAGAAGUGUGUGCAGUGGCAUCCUGGAUCUAUAUACAGUCUAGAUGCCACAUGGACCAAGCCAGAGAAGGAUGUCAGAAUUUCAGCUAUAAAUCAGGAGGAGUGGUGUGUGUGCAAAAAGGAGUGGGAAGGAGGCAAAGGAGAAAUGGGAAUAGUUUGUACAUUCAUUAAAAAAUAUUAAGAAAAAGUUAAAAAGAAAAAGAAAACUUUAUUUUUUUGUUCAAAUAGCCAUUUAUCAAAGCACGUCCCACGAGAAUAAGAUACCCAAGGGAAUCACCAUUGUAAGAAAACACUAUUAGUUCCUAUGUUCCCCAGAAUGAUUUCCUAUGGAAAAACAUCGGCCACUCGGUGACUUUUAUUUGGGCAAUCUAAAAUGUUCGUUUACCAAGCAGCCAUGCCUUGCUUCUUUUGAAAGGCAUUUAUAUACAGUACCAUCAUUAAACAAUCGGACCAGUCCAUUCAGUCAGAACCAUGACAAAACAUUUUGGAAUAUCAAAAGCCGUCACUGUUUAGGCAGAGGUGAUAAUGGCAAAUGCAUCACUGUUAUUGUUGUUACAUUAUUUCCAGGGGUAUUUUUUAAAAUGCCCAAGGGUCGCAGAAUUCUAGAUAAUCGGACCCAGCCGGAUGGAAUUAUCCAAAAGGAAUUUUUUAGGUUGCAGCUCUGAUGAGCUUCUCCUUGCUCCAGGAAUUACUGGGACAGAAACAAUUGGCACUACCAAAGCAGGCUUCUUCCUCUGCAUCCUUCCUCCAAAGAUGCACAGUGUGUCUUGAAACAUCCUUAGACAGAGCAAUGUUACACAUCAAGAACAUUCUUUUAAAAAAUUACUUGACUCUAUCAUUCGCCUCCCUAGUGGUUUCCUUUUAUAAGCCUUAUCUAUUUUGGACACUUGUUCAUUUUCUCAUUAAGCGCAAGUUUGAAUCAGCUUCAUAGGAAAUUGGCCUUCAGAAAAGAGUGAACAGCUGAGUGAAAAUCAGGUAGAGCUUUCACAUGACAGACCAAUUUGGACAAGAGAAAUGUUAAUCACAGGACUUUACACCCUGGGAUAUCUUGAACUUGUUCUCACCCCUGCCAAUGGCGGCAUGCCAACAAAAGGCCUGACAGCGCUCUAUAAUUCUGCCUAUUGGAAUUUCCAGUGAUGAUAGUAUCAGCUACUUAGGUAAGGGCCAGUCUGCCUUACCAAUAAAUCUGUUCAAUGGCAGCCAGAGAAAUCCAGAGAUUCAGGUAUGUACGCCAACAGCCAGUUUGUGACGGCACAAUAUCAGCACAGCGUAAUCAAGUGCCAGUGUGGUCCAAGCAAAACAGAAAACAACAGCCUCGUAUUACAUAUUACGGUAGUUUAUCUUCAUAGGUAAUACGAGACUGUGCGGUUCAAAGGAAAGAACAGAUAUAGUAAAUGAGAAUACUUGGAAGUCUUUUUUAGUUUAUUUAUAGAAACCUUUUCUGUUCUUUUUGUGAGUGUGCAUUAGUAUAAAUUUAAGUGUUAAUAUGUUAAUAUGUUAUUGUACUUACAUACAAUACAUUUCUUCCUUUCCCUUCUUCUCUUCUUGUACUAAACGUUGUUAUGUAUUUAUGUUUUUAAUUUAAAUCAAUAAAGAUUAUUUUAAAAAAGAAAGAAAAAGAAAACAACAGCUGUGCAAACCACAGAGAACUUUGGGGCCACAGCAGCCAUUUUCCCAGUAUCCAAGGCGACACUAACGGUACACACCAAUCAUAGGCCAGCAUGCUGAUAAUGCCCCCCCCCCCAUCAGGCAGACAUGGGAAUGGGUCCAUUGGGGGAUGGGCAAGGACGCCUAAGACAAUCCCCCCAAGCACAAGGAUGCCGUUGUUCUCUCACAAGCCUCUGCCACUGUGGUAUGUGCAGGCAGGCAGCAGGUGUGUAGCAACCAAGAGAUCCUUGCAGGCAGGGAUCUGAAUCCCAUCAGUGUCAGGCUUCAGGGAAGCAGUGAAUACAAGAAGAGUUCUUACUAAUGAGUUAAGGGGCUAUUGUCUCUGAGUCCUUUGCUCUUGCACUCUCAAUAAACGCCGAGUUCUGGGAGAGGGGGGUCAGAAAUACGCUCCAAUGAUAACGUGUCAGCUGGCUGCUCUGGCUCUGCUUCCCCCCUCCCUUCUCCCAACACAUCCCAACUCUUCUGCUCACCUGUCUCUGAGCUGUGACCUUCCCCAAACCACUGCUGUAACCGUCAUCACGCCACUCCUUGGUGUGUGGAGUGCCGCAGGGUGCGAUACUCUCCCCGAUGCUUUUCAACAUCUUUAUGCGCCUCCUUGCCCAGCUUGUCCAGAGUUUUGGGUUGGGCUGCCAUCAGUAUGCUGAUGACACCCAGCUUUAUCUGUUGAUGGAUGGCCAUCCUGACUCGGCCCCAGACACACUGAUCAGAUGUUUGGAAGCUGUGGCUGGAUGGCUAUGUGGGAGCCGGUUGAAGUUAAAUCCUUUGAAGACAGAGGUCCUCUGGCUGGGACGGGACGAUAUGGGAUUGGGGGGGCAACUCCCAUCUCUUGCGGGGGUGCAAUUAGUGCCAGCACCGUCCGUUAAGAGUUUGGGUGUAAUCUUCAACACCUCCCUUUCUAUGGAGGCACAGAUUGCAGCUAUAACAAAGGCGGCAUUUUUCCAUCUCCGCCAAGCUAAGCAGUUGGCUCCUUACCUCUCUCACCCUGACCUAGCCACUGUGAUCCACGCGAUGGUCACCUCCAGACUGGAUUAUUGUAACUAGCUCUACUGCCCUUGAGAUUGACCCAGAAACUCCAACGGGUGCAGAAUGCCGCGGCGAGACUCCUUACGGGGUCUUCAUCACGGGAUCACAUUCACCCCAUGCUAUACCAGCUGCACUGGCGCCCAGUGGAGUACAGGAUAAGGUUUAAGGUGCUUGUUUUAACCUUUAAAGCCCUAUAUGGCAUAGGAGCCUCAUACCUAUGGGACCACCUCUCCUGGUAUGUCCCAUGGAAGACUUUACGGUCUGCAAAUAACAACACCCUGAAGAUUCCGGGCCCCAGGGAGAUUAGACUGGACUUGACCAGAGCCAGGGCUUUUUGGGCCGUGGCCCCGAUGUGGUGGGACGCUCUGUCACAAGAGACUAGGGCCCUGCGGGACUUGACAUCUUUCCGCAGGGCCUGCAAGACGGAGCUGUUUCACCAGUCCUUUGGCCAAGGCACAGCCUGACCCCCUCCUUUGGUAAUUCUUCACAGAACUCUAGCCCAGUGGUUGCCAUCAAUUUGAUUUGAACUGAUUUUAUAAUGAAUUGAUUUUAGAGUGCUGUAUUAUUUUACUGUUGUUAGCCGCUAUGAGCCCAGCUUCGGCUGGGGAGGGCAGGAUAAAAAAAUAAUAAAAACUGCCGCCUUCCUCUUCUCUGGAAGCUUCAGGAGAAGGGGGGGAGCAAUCUCCACCAUUCCUCCUCCAUCUUGUCCCCUUCAGUCCAUCUCUGACAAUCAGACAUGGAAGAAAUUCUGGAAGCAGGACCAAUGAAUAGGAUUGCCAAGAUACUGAAAAGAGAGAGAUUUGCGGCCGUUACACUUUAAGGCACAGCUUCUUCCCGCUUUCCUUGCUAUAGACUCCAUUUGCACAAUAUAUUUAAAGCAGUAUCAUACCACUUUAAACAGUCCUGGCUUCUCCUAAAGAGUCCUGGGACAAUAGAGUGGUUUAGCAACCAUCCCUCAUUCCAGGGAACUCUGGGAAUUGUAGCUCCGUGAGGGGAAUAAGGGUCUUCUAAGAAUGCUCAGCACACAGCAAACUACAGUUCCCAGAAUUCUUUGGGGGAACCUAAGGCUGCGGUAGAUGUAUAGCAUUGAUGAGGCCAUAGUCCUGUGCAGAACACACUGCCAUGUGAGUAAGGAGUUUCCUGGCCAUCUGACAAGGAAUGUACAACUACUAAACUUACGUAGUGACCUUGGACCAGUUGUUAUCACUCAACGUAACCUACCUCACAAGGAGAACCAUGUACGCUGCCUUGAGCUCCUUGGAGGAAAGGGGCUAUACAACUGUAGUAAAUGAAUGAAUAGAUAAUUCUGCUGUGGAGAUAAGCUAGAAAGAGAGGCUUGCCCAGUGCCGGAUUUAUGUAUAAGCUGAACAAGCUAUAGUUUAGGGCCCCACUCUCUUGGGGGGGCCCAAAAUCACUAUUAAUAUACUUCUUAAUUGUAUUUCAGUUCAAUGAUUACUUCGAUAAACUACAUAUUUUGUUGUGUGCAAAUGGCUUUAGAUACCUAUUAGGUCCGUAAAUUACCGUAUAGCAUAUAUUCAACACAAAAAAACAGUGACAAAGGAUAGCUAGACAUAUAAAGGGCCCCAUGACCUUCAGGAGCUUAGGGCCUCAUCCAGCCUAAAUCCUGUCCUGGGCUUGGGAUCUCACCACGGGUCUUCAGGCUCUGCCUCCUGUUCUUAUAAGGGGUCAGGCUCCGGCCCUUCCCUCCCCCCCAAGUCUGAGCUUCAGGAGAUUUUGCAGCUGUAGUGUAAGACAGAUUACACUGACAAAGAAAGUGAGUGGCAAGGCAGAUGACAGUGCAGUUCUAGACAGGUCUACUCAGAAGUAAGCCCCACUCAGUCCACUGGGACUCACUCCCAAGUAAGCACAAGCUGCCUCAGAAAAUUUCAUGGCUGGACCAGAAUUUGAGCCUCAAAAUGGUCUGAAUAGGAAAUUUCUGAAAAUGAUUAAUUCCUAUUUCAAGUUUUUAGAUUAUAUGCAUAAGUCCGCAGGCAGGGCCCUAUGUUAUUUAGUUUAACAGGGACUAUUUUCUGAACUGUUGAUAAUAUUAAAGAAGCUGGCUAGACAAACUCUUUGAACAAAAUGAUGAUUUAUUACUGUUUGUAAAAUAUAAAAAUCUAAUACAUAGGGUAUGUGCUUCAUGCUCCACUGAAGUCAGUAGGACUUAAAAUGUGUUUAACUCUGAAUAAAACUCACUGUGUGUGUGUGUGUGUGUGUGUGUGUGUGUGUGUUCACCAUCAUUAAAGAAAUGUGUUACUUUAACUACUGAUCUUCUGGAAGAGAAGCUCCAGAGACACAUUAAAACUGCUUUGAGGGACCAGAACAACAAAAUAAACUGUUUCUGUACAAAUUAAAUUAAGAUUAUCUAAACAGGGCAUAACAUUGCCUUUAUAAGCAAAAGGUUUGCUUACCUGAUUUAGAAUGGAAGAUUUUUGUGGAUGUCAAUUUCAGGGGUAACUUAACACAAAAGCUACAUUGGCCGAAGCAUGGGUGACAUGUGAAAGGAAAGAGAAAACAACAGAGGAAUAUCAUGUCUGCACUGGGUGGAGAGGAUAAUGCUAGGCUGGCUUGCACUUCAUGGGAAGCCAAAGCAAUGCUUAUUGGGACUGCGCAAACAUGCUGGCUCCAGGGGAGGAGCUCGUACCCACAGGGUUCCUCCCUGGCUCUUUUAGCUUCUUAGCACAGCAUGGCAGACAAGUCAAAGUGCCAUCCAAAUUCAGGGUCAUGGUUAAGCUGUCUCCUCCUUAUCUGCAACCAGGGCUGGCUGCCUCUUGGAUGGAGGAGGAGGCACUGCUGGUCUCCUCUCACCCUUGUUCUCAAUGUACAGUGGUACCUCUAGAUACGAACGGGAUCCAUUCUGGAGCCCUGUUCGCAUCUAGAGGUAAAAGUAUCUAGCGACGGCAUGUCUGCGAACGCUUGCGUCGCUUUUUGCUGCUUCUGCACAUGCGUGUGACGUCAUUUUGAGCGUCUGCGCAUGCGCAAGCGGCAAAACCCGGAAGUAACACGCUCCUUUACUUCCGGGUUGCCGCGGAGUGCAACUCGAACGUGCUCAACUUGAAGCAAAUUUAACCCGAGGUUGUUUUUUCUCCCCUGGUUCUGAUGUAGAUUUUCACUAGCCCCUUCUUUCCUGGCCGGGGUGGGCACCAUUUUGUGGUUCGUCGCAGGUUCUAAAGUGUCUUGGGCCAGCUUGUCUAUUAUCUAUUGCUAAAAACAAGCCUUGGCCUACAGAUUGUGAUUAAGAAGAACAGAUCUUAACCAAGAUCCCAAUUUUUGAUGACAUGCUAAGCGAAACCUUGUCUUUGCUGCCACACCACACUGAACCACAGAGGAGCACAGCAGUGGCCUGUGAGCUAGCAUGUGUGGGUAUUCACACUAAACCGUGGUUUGCCUUAGCUAUACUGUACAGACAAGGACAGCAGUACAAGAAAUUACAGCUUUAUCCUCUUAGUCCUUAUUCUCACUUGGUGGCCUCAGGUGAGCAAUUCUCUCUCAGCCUCAAUCCUCUCAUCUGCAAACUGCAAAAUGUGAGAUAAUAACACUGACUUGCCUUGUAAAGAUUACAACUAGAUAAUGCAUGUGAAUCAAUUUGAAAGCACUAUAAAAAUGUUAAGUAUUUAUAUCCAGCAGUAUCAUAGAUCAUUCUUAAAACUCCCAGUACAGUACUGUAUUUUUUAACAUGAGAACAUCAGUACCCCAUUCAUGUUCUUUAAUCCGCAUUUAUGUAUGGAUGUUUCCAGUAGCAAUAUGCACUCACCCUGUUGUUGUUGUUUUAAUCAAUCAGAUUUUAAAAAUAAAACAUGAAGGAAUGGAAUUGGCCCCAUGAAACUCACUUCCUCUUAGAUGGAAGGCUAACACUCCACUAAGUGAUUUAUACCACAGUCAGAGAACAAUAUUACCAUAUUGGCCCGAAUAUAAGCCACACUUUUUUCCCUUCAAAUUCUGAUUGUGAAAAGUUAAAGUGCAGCUUAUAUUUGCAACCUUACGGUAUCACUGCUGAAACAGCUGCCCAGGAGGGUCAUCGGGGGUGCGGGACAAGGGCGUGCCGCCACCCGCAACUCCCAAGCCGGCUUGGGGAGGGAGUGCCAGGAGUGCCGGGAGGCGGUAGAGCCAGGAGGUGGGCCUGCGGCACGCUCAGAGCUGAGCACCGGCCGUCCCCCGUCCAGAGCGGUAGUGCCAGGAGGCAGGCCGCACCCGCAAAUAAGCCUUGAAUUUUAAAAGUGCAGCUUGUUUUGGGGCCAAUACAGUUUUUCGCUGAUAGAUGAGAUUCAUCCCGUUAUGGCUAUUACAAGCGCUGCAAAUAAGCAUAUCUUUAAAAAUCAUUAUUCUAAUUCCUAGUGCAAACGAAACAAAACCAACUCCUGUCAGGACUAUUAUGCAUCCCUCGUAGUAUUAUGCAAGUAGUUUUUAAGCAAAGCACAAUAGGUUUUCUAGCCAGGGAAGCCUAACCUAUUGUUUCUCCCCUUGCACAUCUGGUUGGUUGGUUUGAAAAAGGGAAAUAAUAAAGAAAACAGCUCCUCUGUAAGAUGAACCAAAUUUAACACACUUCAGGAUGUUCAGGGUGCUGAGAGUUGUUAGGAGACCUGUGGUCUCCCGACUGCGCUACGAUUCCCAGAGUCCCCUGGAAAGAGGGAUUGGCUGUUAAAUCGCUCUGGAACGGUAGUGAUGCCAGGGGAAUAGGGGUCUCCUAACGACUCUCAGCACACUUCAGAAACUACAGUUCACAGAAUUCUUUGGGGGAAACCCUGACUGUUUAAAGUGGCUUUAAAUGUAUACUGCAGAUGAGGCCUGAGCCUCAGCAAAAGUUCUUUUGGACGUGUCCUGAUUGGGGGAGAAAGGAGAAGCCUUGUGUGGAUAUUUAUUCAGCUAUGCUGACAGUUGAAUCCAUUUUUAAAUACUACUGUAACUGGAAUUUUCCUUCUCUGACUGUGUGCCUCUUGGAUAACAAAGCUGGAAUAGUUUUGCCACUGUGGGAACAAAAGAACAUUUAGAAAUUGCUCAAAACCCUUGAGGAUCCAAAAGGAAUCUUGAAGACUUUCUGAGGUUUUGAUGUUUAAUGCUGUCUAGAGCUGGAGCAUAGUUCCCCACUAUGAUGGAAAAUGUUCAGUGAAUUGAGCUAUGCACUUUUGCAUGUUCCUAUCACAGUGCGAUUCCUGCACUGCGAGGGGUUGGACUAGAUGACAUUUGAGGUCCCUUCAAACUCUACAAUUCUAUGAUUAACCCCUGCCCUUCUUCCUUCCUUCCUUCCUUCCUUCCUGUCCUCCUUCCUGUUUUCUUCUUGAAUAUUCUGGAAGCAACAGAAUAAACUGCAGGUAUCAGCAUACAAGAAGCAACUGGUGCUGAGAGAGAAGUAUUUCAAAAUGAGAAAACUUCACAAGUAUAAAAACACUGUUGCAUGGGUCUGUACUAAUUUGAAAUAAAAAAUAGGGACUGACAAUAAAGCACAGGACAGCUUAGCUAGUUGGCAGAUGAUGGACAAGGUUGGCGAGGCUUUGAGACUGUUUUUAGAAUAAGCUGUACCUUGAGCACUUACAGUCCAGGAAAGGGUCUGCAAAGAGAAAUGUCUAGCAAUAAAUGAACUAUAGCAUCUUACAGAGUUCUUUCUAGUGACAUGGAUCUCUAGGCGCUUCACAAAGUCAUAUCUUUUUUAUAUUCCAAAAAAUAUCAGAAGAUGUUUUGAGUGUAGACCAGGCAGCACAAACAGCUCUCAUAAAACAGCAGUAUGGUAGUAGUUUGCUGCUAUCCUCAAUUCCCCCUUAACUCAGUGCUACUUUGGGAAGGAGUCCAUCUCUGUCUGAAAUUCCUUCGGGCCCUGCAUAGUGUUUCCAUUUCUAUUUACAGCCUAGAAGAGUUCAGUGAGAUGCGUGAACCAUACUUGUUGGGUUUUUCCACUGACCCAAGAUGCCUGAGGCAUUACAGAAAAGGUCUAGAUAUUGUCAUUGUGGCGUGCUUUUCACCCCAGCCAAGAAGUGUUGUUGCUUUCUCAGUUUUUUACAAACCUAGAUGGACACUCACAGCUUUUCUUUAUGGGUGGUGAGGGUCCAGAAGAAGUAGAGGGUGCAGUGGACAAAACAUAUUUUGCUAGACUAUAAGGGCGUUCCAUUAGUAAAGAGAAAUCACAUUCUGAAUGACUGCAGAAUGCAGUGUCCUAGUAAACGGAUACUAUAAAGCAUGUGUGCAAGAUGCAGCCAUGACCUCCUGGCAGCAGCAUGAAGCCUCGGUUAGAAAACACCCAUCUUGAAAUCAGGUACAGCCAUGGAUUGAAGAAAAAUGGAUAGCUGUACUUAUUCAAAAUUGACUAAAGUAACUGGAGGUCAAAUGUGACAUUUACCAUCUGAAUUCUGAAUGUGAGAUUUUACCGCAGGAUUCAUCUCUAAUGGCUUUGCUAUGCGUUUCCUGACAUCUCUUAAUUGUUUUGCUUCUGGCAGGUGUCAAAUAUGAAUUGUCACAGGCUAUCAAAUGCUGUCAAAUGUGCAUGUCAAACAGUGCAAAACAGUAAACAUUAACAAAAAAAAGCCCCAAAUAUGAAUGUGAAGGGCCUUGGGUUGAUGUGGGCGGUGUGGAGCUGUGAAUUUGGGUUUCCAGCUUAAAGUCUAGGCUUUUGGCCUCCUAAGCAGAAUCUGAGUGUUCUCACUGGGGUGGCCCCAGGCAGGCUUGAGGAAAUAAAUAGGUUUCUGACUUUGUCAGAGAUUUCACUUACCCCAAGCACACACUCCAAAGCUGCUACUGAAUCCCAGGGUUAUAUGCAACAAGCAUCAAAAUUAAAUGUACUGACAUUUUAAGAAAAGGGGGGGAAAUAUUGGUGUCUGGCUGGACAUUGAGAAGUGGGGGCUAGGCACUGAGGAGUGGGCAUAAGGAGAAGGGGGGGGUGGAGACUGACUUGGAAGAAGGGAUCCGUGAUCUGGGGGAGCCUGUAACAACCAGGAGACAAGAGUCAGAGGCAGCAGAAGCUGCAGGAUCAGAGCGUGAAGAACAGGUAGCUGAAAGCCUUUCCCUGUCUUGUAAGUGUACCUUUGACAAUAAAGACUGAAUUCCUCACUCUGGACCUCCCAUGCUCCACAGCGCCGUCACAGCUGGUCCCCUAAAUAGGGCAAGGGCUUGGAAGGAACACCCAGAAGAAAUCAAAACCAACGCAAACUGGGAGGAGCAGAGCAUGAAAAGUCAACAUCAACAUAAGGGCAGAUCCUGGAAAGAGGGUCAUAGGGAGGAGAGCCUGUACGAAUCUGACAGGCAAUGUACAGAACCACAGUGAACCACAGGUGGCUUGAAAACAACAGUGGGGGCUGCCCCUGUAGUUGAACAGUUUUUCAAACCCAGAUCCUGUUUACCUGUUUGAACACUAUUUCACAGGAUAUAAAACCACAGGCAGUUGAUUAGCAACCCUAAUCAAAACAUAUCAGAGGGAGAAUCCCCACUCUGGAACACUCAAAGCACCCACUAGGGUUCCAAAUAGACACCACAAUCGCAAACUGGCUGAGUAGAUCCCGUUAUAGGUGAAACAAAUUAUAGUUCACAUGCAAGUUAACAGUGCCAAAUUAGAUAUUUUGAAAACGUGCCAAGGACUGGCUUCUAGAAGAGUCUCUGACUCACUUCCUGGUUUCACUGCUUUUCCCCAAGAGAUUUCCGAAAUGCUGGAAAUUUUGGUUUCCUGCCCUGCCACCCCCAGCCCACCCCACCCCCAACCUCCUUUCUGAUGCCUUCAACUUUCACAUGCCAGAGUGGCGGUACAGCAGAUUCUUAGUCCUUAAAAUAAAGAAAACUGUCUGCAAGACAGUUUCACAAACAUAAUUUCCUAGCCUACUCAGCCCAGUGUUUUGAAAUCAUACUUCUGCCACCAUUUUAAUGGUGAGUCUUUUAAAAGAGGCCCCGUGGAACAUGUGUACUCUGUAUCCACGGGGCCUCUUUUAAAGGACUCACCCUGUAUAUAUGUUCUUUCCUGUUAAGUUGCUGAUAAACGUUACCAAGGACAAUGGCCUCUUGCUUCCAUGGAAGUCUACAUCAGAAGAGGAAAUUAGCACAAUAUGGGAUGUGAUACUUUUCAAAACAAAUUUUCAGGGGCUUUGCUUCCCUCAACUAAGGAUGGGGGCGGGGAGUGACAGAGAUAUUGUGUUUGGUUCAUUUCGGAUUUUAAUAUGAAUUUUUCUACUUUGCAGUUCCUGGAACAAUACACAAACUGAAACGCAGCUAUGUUUCAAAAUCUGGACUUCUUUGAAUUUUUGCAAUGCAGAUUUCCAGCCAAACCAUGUGUACCAUGUGGCUGCUGGUCUUCUUGCAGGACAAAGAAGGAACUAUCAAAAUUUUGGGGAUUUCCCCCCUGAAGUACAUGCGUUUGCCAUGGUGAUGUAUGAUCUCGUCCGAGCAUUUAGAAAGUUGUGUUUUCAAAGGGUGAAGAAGUAGCACAGAGCAAGCAGGCUGCAUCCCUAGAUGCUCACUGAAAUGAAGGGCCA